rnacentral:rRNA from 1 species
CAAUAGCGUAUAUUAAAGUUGUUGCAGUUAAAAAGCUCGUAGUUGGAUUUCUGGUGGGAGCGAUCGGUCUGGCGCUUAGCGCGAGUACUUGCAUCGUCUCCGGCCAUCCUUGGGGAGAGUCUGUCUGGCAUUAGGUUGUCGGGCAGAGGAUCCUCAUCGUUUACUGUGAAAAAAUUAGAGUGUUCAAAGCAGGCUUAUGCCGUUGAAUAUAUUAGCAUGGAAUAAUAAGAUAGGACUUUGGUACUAUUUUGUUGGUUUGCGCACCAAAGUAAUGAUUAAUAGGGACAGUUGGGGAUAUUCGUAUUCCGUUGUCAGAGGUGAAAUUCUUGGAUUUACGGAAGACGAACUACUGCGAAAGCAUUUACCAAGGAUGUUUUCAUUAA